GAUGAACGCUGGCGGCGUGCCUAAUACAUGCAAGUCGAGCGAAUGGAUUAAGAGCUUGCUCUUAUGAAGUUAGCGGCGGACGGGUGAGUAACACGUGGGUAACCUGCCCAUAAGACUGGGAUAACUCCGGGAAACAGGGGCUAAUACCGGAUAACAUUUUGAACCGCAUGGUUCGAAAUUGAAAGGCGGCUUCGGCUGUCACUUAUGGAUGGACCCGCGUCGCAUUAGCUAGUUGGUGAGGUAGCGGUUCACCAAGGCAACGAUGCGUAGCCGACCUGAGAGGGUGAUCGGCCACACUGGGACUGAGACACGGCCCAGACUCCUACGGGAGGCAGCAGUAGGGAAUCUUCCGCAAUGGACGAAAGUCUGACGGAGCAACGCCGCGUGAGUGAUGAAGGCUUUCGGGUCGUAAAACUCUGUUGUUAGGGAAGAACAAGUGCUAGUUGAAUAAGCUGGCACCUUGACGGUACCUAACCAGAAAGCCACGGCUAACUACGUGCCAGCCGCCGCGGUAA
rnacentral:rRNA from 1 species